rnacentral:misc_RNA from 1 species
UGAGCAACAAUAAUGUUUGCCAUGUCAUCAUCAACUGCUCCACCACAACGUAUAAUUCUAUAUUGAAAAAGCUGACUAAUAACGCUCUGGAAUCUCUCGUGCACCAUUGGAGGUGGCCCUUGCGCUUGACCUUGCCCAUUGGCAUACGCAGGGAAGUAAAGUGAUGAUGGGAUUUCCAAAUCAUCCCUUAUAGACCAAAUCCCUCGUCGAGAACUUUUCUCAGGUGCCCAAAACUCACCAGAGUAAACGGCCUUUGGAGAUAGCUGAAAGUUCUUUCUAGAACUACUUAACUUU